rnacentral:rRNA from 1 species
ACGAUUCAGAUAGCCAUGCAUGUCUCAGUAUAAGCUUCUAUACGGCGAAACUGCGAAUGGCUCAUUAAAACAGUUAUAGUUUAUUUGGUGGUCAGCAAUUACAUGGAUAACCGUGGACCGUGGUAAUUCUAGAGCUAAUACAUGCGCCCAAACCCGACUUCGUGGAAGGGUUGUGUUUAUUAGAUACAGAACCAACCCAGGCUCCGCCUGGCCUUGAGGUGAUUCAUAAUAACCGAACGAAUCGCAUGGCUAUGCCGGCGAUAGACCAUUCAAGUUUCUGACCUAUCAGCUAUCGUCGGUAGGGUAUUGGCCUACCGUGGCAAUGACGGGUAACGGAGAAUUAGGGUUCGAUUCCGGAGAGGGAGCCUGAGAAACGGCUACCACAUCUAAGGAAGGCAGCAGGCGCGCAAAUUACCCAAUCCUGACGCAGGGAGGUAGUGACAAGAAAUAACAAUACAGGGCAUACAUGUCUUGUAAUUGGAAUGAGUAAACUUUAAAUC